CCAUUUAGUCUCUGCCUGGAAACCGUCCUCCUAAAAGUGUCGACUGUCGUCCUUGUUGCUUCCAGUUCAGUAGCCAUACAUGUCGUGUGAGAGUGGUCUGAAGUAGAGUAGGCACUCGUCUUUCCUAAAUAGGAUUAGACUAUAGUUUACUACAUUGGCUAUAAAUAAAUAUUUAACACCCAUAUUUUUCUCCGCCUGAAAAAUCGUCCCACUCCUAAAAGGUAACCUCAAGAUGCUUGACUCACUACAGCUGCUUUUGAAGAACUUUCCAGUCGUUUGUGCUUUACAUUACGACUUUUAAAUGUCUGUAUAUUGGACAUGUAUAUUAGUGUCUAAUAAAAAAGAGCAAUGUUGGUAAAGCA